AUGGAGAGGAACUCUUUGACAACCUCAUGGCUGAUCCUGUGGCUUCAUCUUGGCCGAGUGAGCAGCCUCUUGACUGUGGAACAGCGUCCUGCCUCGCUGUGGGUUCAGGAAGGAGAGAGCGCCAAUUUCACCUGCAGUUUCCCUUCCAGCUUUUUCUAUGCAUUACACUGGUACAGAUGGGAACCUGCAAAGGGCCCCAAGAACCUGUUUGUAGUAAGUGUAAAUGGGGAUGAAAAGAAGCAAGGACGAGUGAGAGUCACUCUGAACACUAAGGAGGGCGACAGCUCCAUGUACAUCAGAGGAUCCCAGCCUGAAGACUCAGCCACAUACCUCUGCGCCUCCACACAGUGCUCCUCAGCCCCCUGCAGCCCACACCCAAACCCGGGCCUGCUGCUGCUCUGGGACCAGCGCUAA